rnacentral:rRNA from 1 species
GUGUCGCGAGUCCCCUUUAGGGGACUCCACGUCUCCACCCCAGCGUUGCGGGACAGAUCGUGGCAAGGGCGUUUCGCUCUGCCGUCGCACCCCUCAGGUGUGGGCGGCGGAGUUCGGCUCCCCGAUGGCCGCGGCGGACCCGUGGGGGACAGGAGGCUGGCAGCGAGUAGGUCGGUCACCCACCCGACCCGUCUUGAAACACGGACCAAGGAGUCUAACAUGUGCGCGAGUCAAUGGGUCUUGAACAGGCCCAGGGGCGCAAUGAAAGCGAAGGGCCGCCGAGCGCGGUCCGAGCGGGGAUCCCCCUCCUUCGGGGGGGGGCGCACCCGCGACCCGUCCUG